UAUAUAGAUUAAACAAUUUAAUCUACAAUGCAUGUAUAGAUUAAAUCUAAGACUAUCAUACAGGAUUUAUGACAUGAACUAAUAUGCAUGUAUGUAAAUAUGAAAUUUAAAAUUCAGCAAACAUAGAUCACAUCUAUAUCAAAUUAGAUCAUAUUUAAAUUAUAAAUUGAGUUCAACACUCCAUACUUGAGUCAGGGUAGC
rnacentral:lncRNA from 1 species